CUGACCAGCGAGUCAACAGUCCGAGCGCAUGGAGGCUUAUCUUAAGACCAGAGGACACUGGGAUUUCAUAUGCAGUCCAGCGAGACUGGGCGAAAAAGUCUGGCCACAUGUGUUAAUCAUUAUCAGCGUCACGUGCGAAGGUGCUGUUGAGGAAACGAUGGGCUGUGAAUCAACAGGUUGUCUUUGGCGAAGCUAGAAAUGGAAACUCAUGAUGAAGUUUUCAACCUUUAUUUCAAACAACUGCAUCAUUCAGGAGACAAAUUAG